rnacentral:rRNA from 1 species
UACGUAGGGGGCAAGCGUUGUUCGGAAUUACUGGGCGUAAAGGGCGCGUAGGCGGCACGACAAGUCGGGAGUGAAAGCCCGGGGCUCAACCCCGGAAUGUCUCUCGAAACUGUCGAGCUAGAGUGCGGAAGAGGCAACUGGAAUUCCAGGUGUAGCGGUGAAAUGCGUAGAUAUCUGGAGGAACACCGGUGGCGAAGGCGGCAUCCUGGACCAACACUGACGCUGAGGAGCGAAAGCGUGGGGAGCGAACAGG